GACGGAGGAUGCAAGCGUUAUCCGGAAUGAUUGGGCGUAAAGCGUCCGCAGGUGGCAGUUCAAGUCUGCUGUCAAAGACCGGGGCUUAACUUCGGAAAGGCAGUGGAAACUGAACAGCUAGAGUAUGGUAGGGGCAGAGGGAAUUCCAGGUGUAGCGGUGAAAUGCGUAGAUAUCUGGAGGAACACCGGUGGCGAAGGCGGCAUCCUGGACCGGCAUUGACGCUGAGGCGCGAAAGCCAGGGGAGCAAAGCGGG
rnacentral:rRNA from 1 species